UUUCAUAAAAAUUAAAAUAUUAGUAAUAAUAUAAAUAUUUUAUCAAUAUAUAUAUUUAAACACUAGUAAUAUUCAAAACUUCUCAAUAUUCAGGUUUUCUUUUAUUUGAAUCCCAGACUCAAAGUCCAACUCUUUUAGGCCCAAUUUUUUAGGCGUUACAAAGAAAGCAGACUGAAGAUUGAAGAUUGAAAGAGGCAAAUCUUAUCUCUAUGUAUCGACAAUGGAGCAGAUUUAAGCCUCAAGCCUUAUCUCUCUGAGGUAGCAAGAGAGCAAGUUGAAGAUUGAGUCUUAUCUUUCUGAGGUAGCAAGAAAGCAGACUGAAGAUUAAAGAUCUUAUCUCCCUAAGCAGUAGCGGAACAGAUCGAAGAUGGCGAGUCUUAUCUCCAUGUAUCGAUAAUGGAACAGAUUUUAGCCACUAGCCUUAUCUCUCUGAGGUAGCAAGAGAGUAGGUUGGCAAUUGUAGUCUUAUCUUCCUGAGGUAACAAGAAAGUAGACUGAAGAUUGAAGAUUUAUUUCCCUAAGUAGUUGUGGAGCAUCGAGGCUGGCGAAUCUUAUCUCCAUGUAUUGGCAAUGGAGCAGAUUUAAGUCACCAAGCCUAUUUCCCUAAAGUUACAGUCGAGAUUCAGCAUAACCGGGCAAAAUUGGCCCUAUUUGAAGUCUUUGCUCUAUUCUCGUUGCACGACAAUGAGCAAAGAGGGGCAACUGUAAUAGGCCCAUUUUGCCCGGGCCCGUUAGAAAACCAAGAAAUUAAAAAUUAAAAAACAAUAAUAAACCAAUAUAAUAAAAGUCUAUUAGCCCAUGACCCAAUUAACCAAAUUAAUAUCUGACCCAAACAUUAAAUUUAAAUUCUAGCCCAAAUAAACUAAUACCCCAGUAGGCCCAAUCCCGAAAUUAGCCCAAACAGCCCGGAUGGGGGAAGAUUCUGGAAAUCCCAAGUCACCAAACUGCUGCUCGCACGCAUCGCAGCUUCCCCACGAGUGGCUUUCCUUCGUACAGUCGAACCUGCGAGAAGAAGCGGAUUAACAGAAUAUGCAGCAAUUUACAACAAAACAAUUUGAUUUUUUCUUAUUUAUUCUUGUUUUUAGGCUAUAAAAAGCCACUAAAUGUACAUGGAAGGGGAUCUUUUUUACCCAAAUAUAUACACGAAUAUUAAAAACAACAAUGAAAAAAAUUGAAAAGGUAUUCAAAUAUUUUUUCUCUUUUUCUCUUUCGAUUCCAUUAAUCUUUCAUUAGAGUUUACAUGCAUUUGAAAAUAAAGAGAAAGCAAGAGAUUUACCUUGCGAAUGUGCUAAGAGACUCCGUCUUCUUCGUUGAAAUCGGAGUGUAGAUGGAACCUCGUGGCCUAGAUGGUCGUCCCUUGAAGCCCGAAUCUACUUGUCACCAUUGAUAGAGGUAGAUCGGUGCUUAAAAGAGGGGUGUUAGAAUCUGUUGAGGGAAAAUCAGGAGAGGCUAGGGAUUUGGCUUCUUAAUCGGCCAAAUGAGGAUAGAUAUGGGGAAGGAUUUUGCUUCAAUUGCUGUAGAAAACGGCAGAGUGCCAUUCAAACAAUUUUUUAGGGUUUAAUGACAAAAUAAAGAUGUCACUGUUUAGUCUUUAGAGGCCAAUUAGCUACUCUGGGUGAAUUGCGCAUUCGGUCCCUCCCCUUUUGCGCCAAUCUUUAAUUAAGCCUCAAUCACG
rnacentral:lncRNA from 1 species